rfam:Capnocytophaga cynodegmi strain Ccyn2B genome assembly, contig: CCYN2B_Contig_9
UACAUUUGCAACUUCAAAAACUAGUACAUAAUAAUCAUUAAAUAAUAUUGGAAUG